GUGGGAACGUGCCCUUUGGUUCGGAACAACUCAGGGAAACUUGAGCUAAUACCGGAUGUGCCCUUCGGGGGAAAGAUUUAUCGCCAUUGGAGCGGCCCGCGUCUGAUUAGCUAGUUGGUGAGGUAAAGGCUCACCAAGGCGACGAUCAGUAGCUGGUCUGAGAGGAUGAUCAGCCACAUUGGGACUGAGACACGGCCCAAACUCCUACGGGAGGCAGCAGUGGGGAAUCUUGCGCAAUGGGCGAAAGCCUGACGCAGCCAUGCCGCGUGAAUGAUGAAGGUCUUAGGAUUGUAAAAUUCUUUCACCGGGGACGAUAAUGACGGUACCCGGAGAAGAAGCCCCGGCUAACUUCGUGCCAGCAGCCGCGGUAAUACGAAGGGGGCUAGCGUUGCUCGGAAUUACUGGGCGUAAAGGGAGCGUAGGCGGACUGUUAAGUUAGAGGUGAAAGCCCAGGGCUCAACCUUGGAAUUGCCUUUGAUACUGGCAGUCUUGAGUACGGAAGAGGUAUGUGGAACUCCGAGUGUAGAGGUGAAAUUCGUAGAUAUUCGGAAGAACACCAGUGGCGAAGGCGACAUACUGGUCCGUUACUGACGCUGAGGCUCGAAAGCGUGGGGAGCAAACAGGAUUAGAUACCCUGGUAGUCCACGCCGUANACGAUGAGUGCUAGUUGUCGGCAUGCAUGCAUGUCGGUGACGCAGCUAACGCAUUAAGCACUCCGCCUGGGGAGUACGGUCGCAAGAUUAAAACUCAAAGGAAUUGACGGGGGCCCGCA
rnacentral:rRNA from 1 species